GCUGCUUACAUUUGGAAUGUCGCCGGAAAAUUAUGAAAGAGAAAUAAAAUUUAAUUAAUGUCGUUUACAAUUAUAAUUCUUUAAAAAUGGUAUCUUUUGGAAAACGCGUAUAUUGAUGGAUUGAAGGAGGCCCGAGAAAAAUAAUUGAAAAAAUAAAACUACUAAUUAACAUGUACCCUUUUUGCAAGCAUUGUUAACGUGAUAGAAAGAACAGUUGCUUUGAUGAUUGAUGAAUCCACCUGAGCCGCGCAGUUAUCGCCGUCAACUCGCACACUGGACAGCUUCGGAUACCGAAUGAACACGCUAGGGCACAUAGUCAACCAACAAUGCAUACCGAUCCGUCGUCUACCUCUUUGAACAAUAUAAUAUACGAUGUAUAUAAAUGUAUUCUAUACAUCUAUAUACACAUAACAGCCGUAUAUUGUAUGGCUACGAUGGCACUUUGUAAAAGGGACGAAUGUUCACUAUAGCUGUCUAUAUCAUUCUUAAUGAUAAUUAUCAUUUAGAUCAAAUGUAUAAAUAUAUUAUAUUGUCAUGUAGUUGGAUAUUUUCAAGAAGUACGGUUGUUAAAUUUGAUUGUUUCGGAAUAAAUUUAUUAGUAUUUUUUUUUUAUCAGAUAUUGUAUCAAUGCCAAUUGAAUUUUUCAACAGAGCUUUUGUAAAUAUGUUUGUAACAAUA